GUACCUCUGGUUUCACUUUAAUGUUGUGACGAAGAAAAUAACUCCUCUCAAGGCAAGUGUGGUCAUAGUUGAUGUGUCACACUCUGAGUAGGUUUCGUGUCUCACGCUUGUUUAACUUUUUGAACUCUGUUUAAGUUUUCUUUUGAACUUGUCUGCUUUAGGGCAGUAUUUGUGAUGUAGUCAGCCAUCUCUCUUUUCAUUUUGCUAGUUUGCAUAACUUUUGGUGCUGUUUUUGAUGUUUAAUGGUGAACUUGAGUUUCUAUAUUUUAUUACUGGCGUUUUUCUUAAUUUUCAAUUUAUUUUGAGGUAAUCAUUCAAGGCUCUUAUUCUUUAUCUUGGGCUAUCUCUUGUCGCUUCUAUUUUCCUACCAUCUUUCUUCUAAAGGGAGCUUUCAAUCUUUUUGGUCGGGGGGGGAUGUUACGGUUUCCCGUAACUUUUGUUUAUCUACCUUGACUCGGAGGCGCCUGGAGCAUAGGCCGCCCGAUCUACCCCGUGCCCGGUCUCGCGGUGGAGUGGCUGUUGCCCUCCUAGUGCGUAGGCAACCCUUUAUGCCUUGGUUCCCCGCUUGGCCGGGAGAUGGGUCUGCCUUUGCUCCGGGUCGCUUCCGCUUGUCUCCUUCCCCCUCCACCUCUCUCUCUCGCUCAGCUGGUUCGGUCCGCGGCUCGGUUGUGUCAGAGCUGAACUGAACACCGACCCGGGCGAACUAUCAGCCUCACCUACCAUCUUUCUAUCCCCGGGUCAACCUUUCCUUUCCAUCUUCAAUAUGAUUGGCUUUACGUUGUGUUAUGCAUUGCAACCGUUUUGUCGUACCGUGCCGCCAUGUCGCCGUCUCCGGCCUCAAGUUCACCAGCAUCGUUUUGGUCUUGACCUAGGAGUGUAUUGAUCGACUUUGUAUACGUUUUCGGUUUAUGCUAUUAGCUAUAGUUUACCGGUUAUAUGUUUCGUAUCGUUGGGCCGUGGUGCCGUUUGUGUCUUGUACCUCCUUGAGAUAGGCUAUAGAGUGCCUUUUGUCAGUUUCUGUCUGCCAGUCUGAAAUUAAACUGUGAUACAAUUA